rnacentral:rRNA from 1 species
GACGAACGCUGGCGGCGUGCCUAAUACAUGCAAGUAGAACGCACAGUUUAUACCGUAGCUUGCUACACCAUAGACUGUGAGUUGCGAACGGGUGAGUAACGCGUAGGUAACCUGCCUGGUAGCGGGGGAUAACUAUUGGAAACGAUAGCUAAUACCGCAUAAUAUUGAUUAUUGCAUGAUAAUUGAUUGAAAGAUGCUAUUGCAUCACUACCAGAUGGCCCUGCGUUGUAUUAGCUAGUAGGUGAGGUAACGGCUCACCUAGGCGACGAUACAUAGCCGACCUGAGAGGGUGAUCGGCCACACUGGGACUGAGACACGGCCCAGACUCCUACGGGAGGCAGCAGUAGGGAAUCUUCGGCAAUGGACGAAAGUCUGACCGAGCAACGCCGCGUGAGUGAAGAAGGUUUUCGGAUCGUAAAGCUCUGUUGUAAGAGAAGAACGGGUGUGAGAGUGGAAAGUUCACACUGUGACGGUAUCUUACCAGAAAGGGACGGCUAACUACGU